GUGGGGAAUUUUGGACAAUGGGCGAAAGCCUGAUCCAGCCAUGCCGCGUGCAGGAUGAAGGCCUUCGGGUUGUAAACUGCUUUUGUACGGAACGAAAAGACUCCUUCUAAUAAAGGGGGUCCAUGACGGUACCGUAAGAAUAAGCACCGGCUAACUACGUGCCAGCAGCCGCGGUAAUACGUAGGGUGCAAGCGUUAAUCGGAAUUACUGGGCGUAAAGCGUGCGCAGGCGGUUAUAUAAGACAGAUGUGAAAUCCCCGGGCUCAACCUGGUAACUGCAUUUGUGACUGUAUAGCUAGAGUACGGUAGAGGGGGAUGGAAUUCCGCGUGUAGCAGUGAAAUGCGUAGAUAUGCGGAGGAACACCGAUGGCGAAGGCAAUCCCCUGGACCUGUACUGACGCUCAUGCACGAAAGCGUGGGGAGCAAACAGGAUUAGAUACCCGAGUAGUCC
rnacentral:rRNA from 1 species